CUAAAAGAACAGAACCUGCGGCCAUGGCGAGAGAGGGGAAGGCGCCGGCGGGGAAGGAGCCGGCGGCGGAGGGCGAGGGUGCAGAGCCGAUGCUGCCGGACGAGGGGUGGUGAAGCGUUCAGGAGGUUCCUCGUCCUGGCCGGAGAAGGUUCCGGCAAGGGGUGGUGAAGCGGUCAGGAAGAACCAAGAGGCUCAAUUGAUUCCUCCUGCCUGGCGUGUACAAUCAGUGUAGCAAAGGCGUGGUACCAAAUUCAUCAAAGGGGCCGGCAGUUACUUGCACAGCACAGGUGGCAUCAGCAAUUCAGCACCUUUAAGCUUUGGAGGUCAUUACUGGUUCUCUGAUUUUCUAUGCGUCUCCUGGAAUCGCACCUUCUUGGUUUCCCCUGCUAUGUUAGGCCUUAGCAGUAGGUUGAGGGGAGAGAUGUGGAUUCCCAGCUACUGUAUGUAAGGCGCUACUACCUAAGAGGAUAGUCACACACUACUUUUGAGCCGGGUGUCCGCUUUGCGUUUGUCAUAUGCCUUCUUCGAGUAAUUUGUUCUUGGAGUAAUUUGGUUGCUCGUGA